AGAGUUUGAUCAUGGCUCAGGAUGAACGCUGGCGGCGUGCUUAACACAUGCAAGUCGAACGAUUAACCCGCCCUCGGGCGGUUAUAGAGUGGCGAACGGGUGAGUAACACGUGACCAACCUGCCCCCUUCACCGGGAUAACCCAGGGAAACCUGCGCUAAUACCGGAUACUCCGGGACCCCCGCAUGGGGCUCCCGGGAAAGCCCAGGCGGAAGGGGAUGGGGUCGCGGCCCAUUAGGUAGACGGCGGGGUAACGGCCCACCGUGCCCGCGAUGGGUAGUCGGGUUGAGAGACCGAUCGGCCACAUUGGGACUGAGAUACGGCCCAGACUCCUACGGGAGGCAGCAGUGGGGAAUUUUGCGCAAUGGGGGAAACCCUGACGCAGCAACGCCGCGUGCGGGACGACGGCCUUCGGGUUGUAAACCGCUUUCAGCAGGGAAUAAUUUUGAAGGUACCUGCAGAAGAAGCUCCGGCUAACUACGUGCCAGCAGCCGCGGUAAUACGUAGGGAGCGAGCGUUAUCCGGAAUCAUUGGGCGUAAAGCGCGCGUAGGCGGCCCGUCAAGCGGGGUUUCAAAUCCAGGGGCUCAACCUCUGGCCGGACCCCGAACUGGCGGGCUCGAGUGCGGUAGAGGAAGGUGGAAUUCCCAGUGUAGCGGUGAAAUGCGCAGAUAUUGGGAAGAACACCGAUGGCGAAGGCAGCCUUCUGGGCCGCCACUGACGCUGAGGCGCGAAAGCUAGGGGAGCGAACAGGAUUAGAUACCCUGGUAGUCCUAGCCGUAAACGAUGAAUACUAGGUGUUGGGAAGCAUUGCUUCUCGGUGCCGUCGCAAACGCAGUAAGUAUUCCACCUGGGGAGUACGUUCGCAAGAAUGAAACUCAAAGGAAUUGACGGGGACCCGCACAAGCGGUGGAGCAUGUGGUUUAAUUCGAAGCAACGCGAAGAACCUUACCAAGUCUUGACAUCCUUCUGACCGGUACUUAACCGUAUCUUCUCUUCGGAGCAGGAGUGACAGGUGGUGCAUGGUUGUCGUCAGCUCGCGUCGUGAGAUGUUGGGUUAAGUCCCGCAACGAGCGCAACCCUUAUCUUUAGUAGCCAGCGGUUUGGCCGGGCACUCUAGAGAGACUGCCAGGGAUAACCUGGAGGAAGGCGGGGAUGACGUCAAAUCAUCAUGCCCCUUAUGACUUGGGCUACACACGUACUACAAUGGCGUAAACAAAGGGAAGCAAAGCUGUGAAGCCGAGCAAAUCUCAAAAAUAACGUCUCAGUUCGGACUGUAGUCUGCAACCCGACUACACGAAGCUGGAAUCGCUAGUAAUCGCAGAUCAGAAUGCUGCGGUGAAUACGUUCCCGGGUCUUGUACACACCGCCCGUCACACCAUGGGAGUUGGGAAUGCCCGAAGCCAGUGACCUAACCGAAAGGAAGGUGCUGUCGAAGGCAGGCUCGAUAACUGGGGUGAAGUCGUAACAAGGUA
rnacentral:rRNA from 1 species